rnacentral:tRNA from 1 species
GGCGACGUGGCCGAGUGGCAAGGCAGAGGCCUGCAAAGCCUUGUACACCAGUUCGAAUCUGGUCGUCGCCU